UUUCAACUUCACUUUCUAUUUUAAGAAGCAACGUUCAUCCUUGGAGGAGUGCAAAAUGCUGCUAUCAAUUCUUAUACACUUUGAGUAAGCAAAUUAAUAGAAGUUGCUCACGGUUGUAGCUCAUUUGGAGCUCACGGCUAAGCACCAUUUUUUUGUGAAAGAAAAAUUAUAAUUUCCAGCAAGAAUUUUAAAAGGUCAAGCUUGCUAGCAAGGUUUUCCUUCCAGUUGUUGAGCAUUCACCUUGGAUGGAGCUAAGAACGACCAUGGAUAAAUAUUUUUGAGCUCUUGGCCAGUUUGCUUUUGGGAGACAAUUCAAGUAAAAUUUUGACAAGAAUUUGAAGAACAUCCCUAGAUAUGCAAGUUAAGGUACAGAUAGUCGGUUUGGCGAUCCUUCAGCAUAGGAGUUUCACUCAACUGUCUUUGAGAGCUCCGUUGUUCCGGAGUCUAGACUUUUGGUACAGAUCCUAUAAUAUGUAUGUAUACGUUUAUCUAGGGGUACGGCGGGGCCCUGUCCCGUCAUAUUUCGCUAUUGAUACUCUUAGAGGUCUGUAGAUAUAUGUGUGGGUUGUGUAUAAGUUUUGUUCAGCUGUGUCUAUAUGAUGUGCUAUGGAUAUAUUCGUCUGUAAUGGCAGCCUUGUCGGCUUGCGUACCAUAUUAUGUUUUGAUUAGUGGUGACUCCUCGGGAGACAGUUUAUCUGAAUAUACAUAUAUGGCGACGUUAUGAACCGUUGGAGUUCUUCUGCAAGUUUCCAUACUACUCAUAGAUUCAGUUUGAUUAUAUGGAACAGGUUCGUAUACGGGUGCCCAGUUCGAGCACUAGUCAUGGCCCACGGGGUUGGGUCGUGACAAAAGUGGUAUCAGAGCAGUUCGUCCUUGGAGUGUCUACAGACCGUGUCUAGUAGAGUCUUGUUUAUCGGUGUGUUGUGCACCACAUCUAUAAACAGGAAGAUACAGGACAUUUAGGAUGUUACUUUUCUUUCAUAUCUAAGAUCGUGCGAUAGAGCCCAGCCAUAGGAAAUGAAAUCCCUUAUACUAACCUUUGAUUUCAGCUGAAGAACGACAUCGACAGAAGAAAGCGAUUGAUGAUAUUAGAAGCUAUACAGUACGCAGGUAAGCAAUGGUGCGAAAGAGGCGUGUCGGAUAAGGUAAGAAUACCGAAACAUGAUUGAAAUGUAAAGUUGGAGGAUGAAAGAGAAGGUAGAUAGAAAGGUAUAUCUGGACAGAUCGUUAAAGGAUCAAGUCGUCUCGAGGUGCGAUAUGUGAGGAAUAUGGUGGCUGUGACUAUUUCAAGUUUCUGUAGAAUACGGUUGACCUAAGAGCUUCAAUGUGUGAUUAAUGUACUUAUUUACUUUAAAGUGUUUAAUUUUCCGCAAAAUGUCAUUCAUUUGUAUCAUAAACUCAAGAAACAAAUUGGCGAAAAUUCCCCUU